rnacentral:rRNA from 1 species
UACGAAGGGGGCUAGCGUUGCUCGGAAUCACUGGGCGUAAAGGGUGCGUAGGCGGGUCUUUAAGUCAGGGGUGAAAUCCUGGAGCUCAACUCCAGAACUGCCUUUGAUACUGAAGAUCUUGAGUCCGGGAGAGGUGAGUGGAACUGCGAGUGUAGAGGUGAAAUUCGUAGAUACCAGGAGGAACACCGGUGGCGAAGGCGGUUUCCUGGCCGAGUACUGACGCUGAGGCACGAAAGCGUGGGGAGCGAACGGG